AAGUUCCAAAGUCAAGCAAAACUUAACUUUACUAAGGUGUUUCUUUUUUACUCUUAAAGAGAAGAAGAAGAAGAAAUUGAUGAAGAGGAAUUGGAAAGACUGAAGGCAGAGUUAGAUGAGAAAAGACAAACAAUUGCUACUGUCAAAUGCAAGCCAUGGAAGAUGGAGAAGAAAAUUGAAGUUCUCAAGGAAGCAAAAAAAUUUGUGAAUGAAAAUGAAGGGGCUCUUGGGAAAGGAAAAGGAAAACGGUGGUUUGCGUUUAAGAUGAUGAUGGCCAAGAAAUGGGUAAAAUUCCUUCGUGAUUUUGAGAACUUCAAAGCUGCGUGUGUCCCAUGGGAAAAUAAAAUCAAGGCUAUUGAAAGUCAGUUUGGCUCCUCAGUGGCCUCAUACUUCCUCUUCUUGAGAUGGAUGUAUGGAGUCAAUAUGGUUCUCUUUAUCCUGACAUUUAGCCUCAUCAUGUUGCCAGAGUACCUCUGGGGUUUGCCAUAUGGCAGUUUACCUAGGAAAACAGUUCCCAGGGCUGAAGAGGCAUCGGCAGCAAACUUUGGUGUGUUGUACGACUUCAAUGUAAGUGUCUCCACACAACUGUAUUGG
rnacentral:lncRNA from 1 species